GACGAACGCUGGCGGCGUGCUUAACACAUGCAAGUCGAACGGAAAGGCCCUUCGGGGUACUCGAGUGGCGAACGGGUGAGUAACACGUGGGUGAUCUGCCCUGCACUUUGGGAUAAGCCUGGGAAACUGGGUCUAAUACCGAAUAGGACCACGCGCUUCAUGGUGUGUGGUGGAAAGCUUUUGCGGUGUGGGAUGGGCCCGCGGCCUAUCAGCUUGUUGGUGGGGUAAUGGCCUACCAAGGCGACGACGGGUAGCCGGCCUGAGAGGGUGACCGGCCACACUGGGACUGAGAUAGGGCCCAGACUCCUACGGGAGGCAGCAGUGGGGAAUAUUGCACAAUGGGCGCAAGCCUGAUGCAGCGACGCCGCGUGAGGGAUGACGGCCUUCGGGUUGUAAACCUCUUUCAAUAGGGACGAAGCGAAAGUGACGGUACCUAUAGAAGAAGCACCGGCCAACUACGUG
rnacentral:rRNA from 1 species